AUAUUAUUAAGCUACUGUAAUUCUUCAUUCCUAUGUUGUAAAUAAGGUUCUGAUUGUUUCCAUUAAAGACCAAAUCGAUUUUAUGUUGUUUCAAGCCUGCAAAUACUAUGAACACCUUAUUUGCAAUCUGGAAUUUUUCGUUCUUCUCUAUAAAUGGUUGUGAAGUCGCCUUUAGGAGUUAACCUUGCCAAAUUUUUUCAAUAAACUAAGUACUGCUUCAAACGAUUCUCAAGGUGUUGAUGCUUUGAGGUUACCUUCUAAGUUACUGAAAUGGUAAGUAUUAGGGUUUGAUAAAAUAAAAAUGACUGUCGAUAUGCACUAGUUUAAUUGCACCAAGUUCUUGCUCUAUCAGAAUUAUUUGGAUGAGAGUUUAAACUAGGCCAUUAGACUAUGUUGACUGAACACAUUAUAACUUAGAAACGUUCCGAGAAAAUUAUCUACAUUACUUUUAAUCGGGAACAAAAUAAACCAGUAUAAGAAAUAAAUGUUUGAGAGGCUAUUAAUUUCCGACGAUAUUAAACUUCAUUCGUUAACAUGAACAGUGAGUUCCUUAUGAGCAAUCGAAUA